rnacentral:rRNA from 1 species
AUAUUGGUCAAUGGGUGAGAGCCUGAACCAGCCAUGCCGCGUGCAGGAAGACGGCCUUCUGGGUUGUAAACUGCUUUUAUCAGGGGAUAAAAUUUCCAUGCGUGGAGAAUUGAAGGUACCUGAUGAAUAAGCCACGGCUAACUACGUGCCAGCAGCCGCGGUAAUACGUAGGUGGCGAGCGUUGUCCGGAUUUAUUGGGUUUAAAGGGUGCGUAGGCGGCCAUUUAAGUCAGUGCUGAAAUAUCCCGGCUUAACCGGGAGGGUGGCAUUGAUACUGGGUGGCUUGAGUGAAGUCGAAGUAGGCGGAAUUGACGGUGUAGCGGUGAAAUGCUUAGAUAUCGUCAAGAACACCGAUAGUGUAGACAGCUUACUAGGCUUUAACUGACGCUGAGGCACGAAAGUGUGGGGAUCAAACAGG